rnacentral:rRNA from 1 species
GUGGGGAAUAUUGCACAAUGGGGGAAACCCUGAUGCAGCAACGCCGCGUGGGUGAAGGAGCGUUUCGGCGCGUAAAGCCCUGUCAGCGGGGAAGAAGAAAGACGGUACCCGACCAAGAAGCCCCGGCUAACUACGUGCCAGCAGCCGCGGUAAUACGUAGGGGGCGAGCGUUAUCCGGAAUUACUGGGUGUAAAGGGAGCGUAGACGGCAGGGUAAGCCUGGAGUGGAAGCCCGCGGCUCAACCGCGGAACUGCUUUGGGAACUGCCCGGCUGGAGUAUGGGAGGGGUAAGCGGAAUUCCUGGUGUAGCGGUGAAAUGCGUAGAUAUCAGGAGGAACACCGGUGGCGAAGGCGGCUUACUGGACCAUAACUGACGUUGAGGCUCGAAAGCGUGGGGAGCGAACAGGA